UACGGAGGGUGCAAGCGUUAUCCGGAUUCACUGGGUUUAAAGGGAGCGUAGGUGGCCUGAUAAGUCAGUGGUGAAAUCUCUGGGCUCAACCCAGAAAUUGCCAUUGAUACUGUUAGGCUUGAGUAUAGUUGCCGUUGGCGGAAUAUGACAUGUAGUGGUGAAAUACAUAGAGAUGUCAUAGAACACCGAUUGCAAAGGCAGCUAACGAAACUAUAACUGACACUGAGGCUCGAAAGUGCGGGGAUCAAACAGG
rnacentral:rRNA from 1 species